AUAAACAAAGGAUCAACCCCUAAACCUAACACACAAAUCACACGCCCACUUCUUCAAACCACACGCCCCACCCCCUUUUUCAUCUCUUCUCCCACUUGUUAUCCAUUUCACUCAAGAUCCUAUCAAUUUUCCAAGAGAUUGUUGAAGAACCAAGGUUUUAAUUGCUUCCUACCGAUUAUUUCGUCCAAGAAAAGGUGAAAUUUUGUGCGAGACGCGUGAUACCAAAGGAAAAGCGAAACUUGAAAACUAAAGGAUCGAGGUUGAGCGGCGACGGGCGGUUGGCGGUGUUGAGCAGGAACUAAUAAUGAACUGUGGUUGUUUUGGUUUUGAAAUUCCGAGUGUCGUUGUGUCUUCACACAUGACGUCACUCUUCUCUUGGAUGCUUCCGCUGUGAUAUUUUUCUUAGAAUACUUUUCAUUUAAAUUCUGAAACUAUUUUAUGAUGGGAUGUUUGAAACUCGUUACACUUUUUGAAUAAAUGCUAAACCCUAGUCUUUAUUCAUUAAA